AUUGAACGCUGGCGGCAGGCUUAACACAUGCAAGUCGAGCGGAAACGAAAGUAGCUUGCUACUAGGCGUCGAGCGGCGGACGGGUGAGUAAUGCUUAGGAAUCUACCAAGUAGUGGGGGAUAGCCAUUGGAAACGAUGAUUAAUACCGCAUAUAUCCUACGGGGGAAAGCAGGGGAUCUUCGGACCUUGCGCUAUUUGAUGAGCCUGAGUGAGAUUAGCUAGUUGGUAAGGUAAAGGCUUACCAAGGCGACGAUCUCUAGCUGGUCUGAGAGGAUGAUCAGCCACACUGGAACUGAGACACGGUCCAGACUCCUACGGGAGGCAGCAGUGGGGAAUAUUGCACAAUGGGGGAAACCCUGAUGCAGCCAUGCCGCGUGUAUGAAGAAGGCCUUCGGGUUGUAAAGUACUUUCAGUCGUGAGGAAGGGUAUGUAGUUAAUAGCUGCAUGCCUUGACGUAGCGACAGAAGAA
rnacentral:rRNA from 1 species